rnacentral:rRNA from 1 species
CUGGCGACCGGCGCACGGGUGAGUAACACGUAUCCAACCUGCCCUUUACUCGGGGAUAGCCUUUCGAAAGAAAGAUUAAUACCCGAUAGCAUAAUGAUUCCGCAUGGUUUCAUUAUUAAAGGAUUCCGGUAAAGAUGGGGAUGCGUUCCAUUAGGUUGUUGGUGAGGUAACGGCUCACCAAGCCUUCGAUGGAUAGGGGUUCUGAGAGGAAGGUCCCCCACAUUGGAACUGAGACACGGUCCAA